rnacentral:tRNA from 1 species
GCGGAAGUGGCGGAAUGGCAGACGCGCUAGGUUGAGGGCCUAGUGAGGGUUUACCUCAUGCGGGUUCAAGUCCCGCCUUCCGCACCA